rnacentral:snoRNA from 1 species
AAAUUUGGUGCCCUGCUGUGGCUGCUUGUGGCAUGGGAACUCCAACUGCAUGCCAGAGCAAUGUGGAGAGACUUUGACAGGUCAGGUCAGCACAGUACCUGCAGCUGCCAUUUACCUUUUCUCUAGAC